rnacentral:piRNA from 1 species
UGUGCUUUGGUUAACAUUCUGGUUUA